GAGCCUCAGCCCCUCCCACGGGCCGCCCACGGAUUCCAGGAUCCGGAAACUCUUCCUGCUGCUGCGUCACCCCAGGAAGGCAGCGCCCGCCUCUGGGCAGUUCUGAUGGAAACUGGCUUCGCCGCCCAGAGGAAAACCCACAACUAAGGGGCCAAGAAAAAGCCUCCAUGGUCCCGCCCUUUCAGUGAGGAUCCUAAUUUAUACCCCGAGUGUGGCCCCCAUCAAAGUCUGCAGUGACAGCCGAGCGCGGUGGCUCACGUCUGUAAUCCCGGCACUUUGGGAGACCAUGGCGGGCGGAUCACUUGAGGUCAGGAGUUCGAGACCAGCUUGGCCAACAUGGUGAAGCCCCUUCUCUACUAGAAAUACAAAAAUUAGCCGGGUGUGGUCGUAGGCGCCUGUAGUCCCAGCUACUCGGAGGCUGAGGCAGAAAAAUGGCUUGAACGCGGGAGGCGGAGCUUGCAGGGAGCCGAGAUCGCGCCACUGCACUCCAGCCUGGGCGACAGAGACUCCAUCUCACACACACACAAAAAAUGUAGAGUGACGUUCACUGAAAUGAUACUAGACCAGCGGGAGGGACCCAGAGCGCUGCGGUUCACAGAAUGCGGUGACAGCGCCGCCUCGCGUCCUUUACUUCAACUGCCCCAGGCAGACGUGGUCACGUGUGUUGGCCUGGAGGCUGGAAUACACCGGGGUCAAAUGCAGAGUGGAGAAAGGAGGGAAGGAUGGGAGGACGUGUUGAAGAAAGACAGUAAGAGCUAGCGCUAUGGUUCAUAUCUGUAAAACUAGAGUUUUCGGAGGCGAGGCAGGAGGAUCGUGUGAGACCAGGAGUUUGAGGUCGCAGUGAGCCGUGAUCACACCACUGCACUCCAGCCUGGACGACAGAGUGAGACCCUGCUUUUAUAUACUUUUCAUAUUUUCUGUAAUUAAGCAAGUUUUGUGUCCGGAAUUGGUGGGUUCUUGAUCUCACUGACUUCAAGAAUGAAACUGUGGACCCUCGCGGUGAGUGUUACAGCUCUUAAGGUGGCGCGUCUGGAGUUUGUUCCUUCUGAUGUUCGGACGUGUCCGGAGUUUUUUCCUUCUGGUGGGUUCGUGGUCUCGCUGGCUCAGGAGUGAAGCUACAGAGCUUUGCGGUCAGUGUUAUAGCUCUUAAGGCGGCACGUCUGGAGUUGUUUGUUUCUCCCGGUGGGCUUUUGGUCUUGCUGGCUUCAGGAGUGAAGCUGUAGACCUUCACAGUGAGUGUUACAGCUCAUAAAAGCACUAUGGACCCAAAGAGUGAGCAGUAGCAAGAUUUAUUGCAGAGCAAAAGAACAAAGCUUUAGCAGUGUGGAAGAGAACCCGACUGGGUUGCCACUGCUGGCUCGGGCAGCCUGCUUUUAUUCUCUUAUCUGGCCCCACCCACAUCCUGCUGAUUGGUAGAGCCGAGUGGUCUGUUUUGACAGGGUGCUGAUUGGUGCGUUUGCAAUCCCUGAGCUAGACACAAAGGUUCUCCAAGUCCCCAUCAGAUUAGUUAGAUACACAGUAUGGACACAAAGGUUCUCCAAGGCCCCACCAGAGCAGCUAGAUACAGAGUGUAGAUUGGUGCAUUCACAAACCUUGAGCUAAACACAGGGUGCUGAUUGGUGUGUUUACAAACCUUGAGCUAGAUACAGAGUGCCGAUUGGUGUAUUUACAAUCCCUGAGCUAGACAUAAAGGUUCUCCAAGGCCCCACCAGAGCAGCUAGAUAGAGUGUGGAUUGGUGCACUCACAAACCCUGAGCUAGGCACAAGGUGCUGAUUGGUGUGUUUACAAUCCCUGAGCUAGACAUAAAGACUCUCCACGUCCCCACCAGACUCAGGAGCCCAGCUGGCUUCACUUAGUGGAUCCCGCACCGGGGCUGCAGGUGGAGCUGCCUACCAGUCCCGCACGGUGCGCUUGCAUUCCUCAGCCCUUGGGUGGUCGAUGGGACUGGGCGCCGUGGAGCAGGGGGUGGUGCUCGUCGAGGAGGCUCGGGCCGCACAGGAGCCCUUGGAGUGGGUGGGAGGCUUAGGCAUGGCGGGCUGCAGGUCCCCAGCCCUGCCCCGCGGGAAGGCAGCUAAGGCUCGGUGAGAAAUCGAGCGCAGCGCUGGUGGGCUGGCACUGCUGGGGGACCCAGUACACCCUCCGCAGCUGCUGGCCCGGGUGCUAAGUCCCUCAUUGCCAGGGGCCAGCAGGGCUGGCCGGCUGCUCCGAGUGCGGGGCCCGCCAAGCCCACGCCCACCCGGAACUCCAGCUGGCCGGCAAGCGCGGCACACAGCCCCGGUUCCCGCUCGCGCCUCUCCCUCCACACCUCCCCGCAAGCUGAAGGAGAGGGCUCCGGCCUUGGCCAGCCCAGAAAGGGGCUCCCACAGUGCAGCGGUGGGCUGAAGGGCUCCUCAAGUGCCGCCAAAGUAGGAGCCCAGGCAGAGGAGGCGGGGAGAGCAAGCGAGGGCUGUGAGGACUGCCAGCACGCUGUCACCUCUCGGUUUUACUUUAUUUUAGGAUAAAAUAUCUAUUGUGAAUUUUAAAAACAUGUAAAAUAAAAUUUUAAUUAAAAAGCCUAAAUGUUCUUUUCCUAUUUAUCCUGAAGGAAAUUCCUGUUGAUGGCGCAUUUAGGAACUUAUUUAUCCCCUGAAGACCUGAGCCCUGCACAUAUCAAAACUGUACAUUCCUUGUGGAGCAGUCUUCUCUUUUGAAAUGUAGACACUAUUUCCCUAAUCUUCAAGCCAGCCAUUGUCACUCCUAGUGACACUUCCAUUGGAUAAGCUCCUUACUCUCACUGAAAUUGGCCUCAGAGUUGCAGCCAA
rnacentral:lncRNA from 1 species